rnacentral:rRNA from 1 species
UACAGAGGUCUCAAGCGUUGUUCGGAUUCAUUGGGCGUAAAGGGUGCGUAGGCGGCGCGGUAAGUCGGGUGUGAAAUCUCGGGGCUUAACUCCGAAACUGCAUUCGAUACUGCCGUGCUUGAGGACUGGAGAGGAGACUGGAAUUUACGGUGUAGCGGUGAAAUGCGCAGAUAUCAGGAGGAACACCGGUGGCGAAGGCGGGUCUCUGGGCCGCAACUGACGCUGGAGGAGCGAAAGCAUGGGGAGCGAACAGG